CAGUCGCCGCGGUAAUAUGUAGGGUGCGAGCGUUAAUCGGAAUUACUGGGCGUAAAGCGUGCGCAGGCGGUUGUGUAAGACAGGUGUGAAAUCCCCGGGCUUAACCUGGGAACUGCGCUUGUGACUGCACAGCUAGAGUAUGGCAGAGGGGGAUGGAAUUCCACGUGUAGCAGUGAAAUGCGUAGAGAUGUGGAGGAACACCGAUGGCGAAGGCAGCCCCCUGGGCCAAUACUGACGCUCGUGCACGAAAGCGUGGGGAGCAAACAGGAUUAGAUACCCCUGUAGUCCCUGUCUCUUAUAC
rnacentral:rRNA from 1 species